rnacentral:rRNA from 1 species
UACGUAGGGUGCAAGCGUUAAUCGGAAUUACUGGGCGUAAAGCGUGCGCAGGCGGUUUUGUAAGUCUGUCGUGAAAGCCCCGGGCUCAACCUGGGAAUUGCGAUGGAGACUGCAAGGCUAGAGUGUGUCAGAGGGGGGUAGAAUUCCACGUGUAGCAGUGAAAUGCGUAGAUAUGUGGAGGAACACCGAUGGCGAAGGCGAGUCCCUGGACAACUUCUGACGCUGAGGCACGAAAGCUAGGGGAGCAAACAGG